rnacentral:rRNA from 1 species
GACGGAGGAGGCAAGCGUUGUUCGGAAUUAUUGGGCGUAAAGGGCGCGUAGGCGGGUCAGCAAGUCUGGCGUGAAAUCUCCACCGCUCACCGGGGAGAGGUCGCUGGAAACUACUGACCUGGAGUUCGGCAGAGGACCAUGGAAUUCCAGGUGUAGCGGUGGAAUGCGUAGAUAUCUGGAAGAACACCUGUGGCGAAGGCGGUGGUCUGGGCCGAAACUGACGCUGAGGCGCGAAAGCUAGGGGAGCAAACGGG